rnacentral:rRNA from 1 species
UACAGAGGUCCCAAGCGUUGUUCGGAUUCAUUGGGCGUAAAGGGUGCGUAGGUGGCGCUGUAAGUCGGGUGUGAAAUUUCGGAGCUUAACUCCGAAACUGCAUUCGAUACUGCGGGGCUAGAGUGCAGAAGGGGCAACUGGAAUUCUCGGUGUAGCGGUGAAAUGCGUAGAUAUCGAGAGGAACACCUGCGGCGAAGGCGGGUUGCUGGGCUGACACUGACGCUGAGGCGCGAAAGCUAGGGGAGCGAACGGG